rnacentral:rRNA from 1 species
GACGAACGCUGGCGGCGUGCCUAAUACAUGCAAGUCGAACGCAGUGGGGACGGGUGAGUAACACGUGGGUAACCUCCCAUCAGAGGGGAUAACACUUGGAAACAGGUGCUAAACCGAUACUGAUGGAUGACCCCGCGGUGCAUUAGCUAUUUGGUGCGGUAACGGCUCACCAAGGCCACGAUGAAUAGCCGUCCUGAGAGGGUGUUCGGCCGCACUGGGCCCGAGACACGGCCCAGACUCCGACGGGAGGAAGAAGUAGGGAAUCGUCGGCAAUGGACGAAAGUCUGACCGAGCAACGCCGCGUGAGGGAAGAAGGUUUUCGGAUCGUAAAACUCUGUUGUUAGAGAAGCGGUAUCUAACCAGAAAGCCACGGCUAACUACGUGCCAGCCGCCGCGGUAAUAC